rnacentral:rRNA from 1 species
GAUGAACGCUGGCGGCGUGCCUAACACAUGCAAGCCGAACGAAGCACCUUACCUGAUUCUUCGGAUGAAAGUCUGGUGACUGAGUGGCGGACGGGUGAGUAACGCGUGGGUAACCUGCCCUGUACAGGGGGAUAACAGCUGGAAACGGCUGCUAAUACCGCAUAAGCGCACGAGGAGACAUCUCCUUGUGUGAAAAACUCCGGUGGUACAGGAUGGGCCCGCGUCUGAUUAGCUGGUUGGCAGGGUAACGGCCUACCAAGGCAACGAUCAGUAGCCGGUCUGAGAGGAUGAACGGCCACAUUGGAACUGAGACACGGUCCAAACUCCUACGGGAGGCAGCAGUGGGGAAUAUUGCACAAUGGGGGAAACCCUGAUGCAGCAACGCCGCGUGAGUGAAGAAGUAUUUCGGUAUGUAAAGCUCUAUCAGCAGGGAAGAUAAUGACGGUACCUGACUAAGAAGCUCCGGCUAAAUACGUGCCAGCAGCCGCAGUAA